rnacentral:lncRNA from 1 species
CUAACUUUCCCUUUCUUCCCAUCCCUGUGGCAGAAAAACUGGAUUCUUCCUGAACCUUCCCAGAGACGUGAUUUGUAGACACAUAAAAGUCAACGUGGAGAACAUUGUGCAUCUACUCCACAGCCCAGAAGAAGAGUGAAGAGGCAGGGACUACUGUCCUGAGUGCCAGAGUGUCAUCAGACAUGCAGAGCAAAAGACAACUAGGAAAGAUGUUGAUUCAAUAUGGCCCUAGUGGUUCUGAGAUGGGCUGGUUAUUCCAAGCUCAGUGGUGGAAUAAGCCCUAUAGGAGAGCAAGGGAGGCUUAAUCCUGCCGCCAUUGAUUCAGGACAGAGUGAGCUCCAUGGCACUUCAUGACUUCAACAUUUUAUACACAGAACAUAGUCUACAGGGAUUAAAAAAUGUCUAUGUUGGAAGUUCGCCUGAAGUUGAAAAGCCUAAAAUACCAUUUGAGUUGAAAAGAAAAUAUAACUGCACUUUGAGCAAGAAUGAAUUUAACCCAUGCUUGGAUAUGAAAACAACAUAUAUCACGGUGUACAAGUCUAGAAGUUGGCCAAUAUUUUUAGGGGUGUGAUUCUUGCAUUAAUUCUUUUAGCAAACAUAUUUUGAUCACCUGAGUCUGAAUAAUCACAAAAAUAAUAUUUGUAGAAGCUUUAGAGUUUAAGGAGUAGCUUAUCUCAUUAACUCUUUCAAAAUUGUCUGAAAGAGGAGUUACUGCAUUUGUUAUCUUACAGAUGAGGGAUUGGAAUCAAGUCAAGGUCAUUUGUUCAAGGUCAACCGCCUGGAUAGUGAUGGAGUGGAGUAAGAGAUUCAUGUGUUCUGACCCCAGAUCCCUGAAUUCAUGUCUAUCUGCUCUAAUUCCCUGAAAUUGUAUCUUAACUCUAGAUUCUCAGACUAUUUUUUACCCAUUCUGAUGGGAAAUUGUAUUUUCUUUUCUGUUUUCUCAAGUCCAAUUUAUUUCCACAAAAAAUAUAUAUGAGCUCAGACCUUCAGUGAUAUGUCUUCUAAUGCUGCCUCCCAGGGUCAGCUUGUUAGAUCAGAAACAAGGGAACAUUUUCUGUAAAGGGCUGGACAGCAAACAUUCUAGGCUCUGUGGGUCAUAGUCUCUGUGGCAACAACCCAAUGCUGUCAUUGUAUUGGAAAGGCAGUUUGAGUCAUAGACAAUAACUAAACAAAUGGGUGUGACUGAAUCCCAGUGAAGUUUUAUUUACAAAAAUGGGUAAUGACCAGGUUUUCCAAACCCUGCUUCAGACUCACAUUGCUUUCUGCUGAUCUCCCAACUAACAAAAGUACUCAAACUUCAGAUUUUUAUAGCUUUCAAGUGCACCGGUCAUUUACAGAAAAUGCCCAAGUUUUGUGCUCUUUCCAGUCAAAGAAAGUCCAUGCCCAAUACGUGGGGGGAAAAAUGAACAGGGUCAAAAUGAUGACAAGAUGCUAUCAACACACAGACAGAACUGGAGCUCUACGGUCUCAUCCCACAAUGGAGGGGAAUUAUCAUUUUUAAUUGCCUAUAAAGAGACAAGUACUCUGUAAGAUGUUUUAUAUAUUUCUUAAUUAUCCAACCAUGAUUUUAACCCUUUUACUGGUGAAGAAACAGAUCCUUAGAUUACCAAGCUUCUUGUCAAAGUCCAUACAACUAGCAAGUGAUAAAGUUCAUAUUCAAAUUCGCUAUUGUCUCAUUCCAAAGUGCAGAUUCUUUUAAGUUGCCAUGUGGUGCCUUCAGAAUCAGCUGACAGCCCUCACUGACAAGAAUGCUAGCUCUCACAAAUCCCCAGCCGAUAGGUACUUUGGGUAGGUUUAUUUAAGAUAUUAUUGAAUUGAUGAUCAUUUUGCUCAAAUCUAGUAGCAUCAAUGAAGGAUAGAGAUAAAUACAUAAAGUCUCCAGAAAUCAUUUACCAUAAGCCAUUGUCCCUUCUGCUCUUGACCCACUCCAUUAAAAAAUCUUUCUAGUCAUUUGUGAAGGAAAAUACAUCACUAACCCAUGUGAUUAAUGAGUCGGCCAAACCAAUUUCAUGAAACCAUGAGUCAGCAGUGGCCUAAGUAAGAAGGCAAAGCCAGUUCCUGGACAACGGGGACAUUUCCCAAAGCUAACAAACAAUGAUGAUGCAUGGCCCUGUGUCUGGGGGAGAAAGCCAGAGGAGGUCUUUGUUCACCAACCUGCAUCUCUUUACCCUGCAUCUCUGUUUCUUCUAAACCUGGAAACACAGAUUUCCCAGGGCAGAAGAUGAUAGGCAUUUUUUUUUAACAGCUGGCAUUUCUGAUGACUUUUUUUAAUGACUAUAUUUUUUUCUCAAUAAUAGCAUGGAACCUGGACCUGAAAGAAUCACUUUUCUAUAGAGUGUCUAUUAAGACUUUAUCAAAUAAAUGGCUAUAAAUCAAACUUGGAGGUGGGGUCAUAAUUCAAGAUCAGGAUAGAAACAAAAUUUCCCUUUUUGUUUCCUUAUGUAGUUUUAAAGAUUUGGAAGUUUUAAUUAUUUAAUAUUUUAUAUUAUUGUUUUUUAAACUGCUCUGAUUGGAGACUUGGCCAUCUGAGAAAAGGCAAUGGGUAAUCCAUAGAGGAAACUUGUAAAGUGGAUACAUAGAAUGACUUUUUCAAUGGCUGAAUAUUUUUCAAGUUGUGUUAAUUAUCUAUCAAUGUGCAACUAUUCCAAAUUUUAUCAACUUCAGGUACAAACAGUUAUUGCCUCCCAGUUUCUGGAGCUGAGAAUCCUGGUCUCAGCGUCUCUCAGGAGAGGCAGUGAAGCUCUCUCCAUGUCUGCAGCCAUUUCCAGGCUGACUCACAAGGCUGUUGGCAGCCUCAGAAAACCCAUUCCAAUUGUACUGACAUGGAUGCAGGUCUUGGAUCCUUACCACACUGAUUUCACCAGAAACUUCUUGAACACAUUCACAACACGGAAGCUGAUGCUCCUACAGUGAGAGAGAACCAGAGAGCAGCACCCCAGACAAAAACACAGCCUUUUUACAACCUAACAUCCAAACUGAUGCCUCAUCACUUCUGCCACAUUAUGUUCAAUAGAAAGCAAGUCAUUAAGUGCAGCCUAUACUGACGGGAAAAGAUUAUCCAAAGGCUUAUGUGAGCAGCAAAAAUAAGGAAUUACUGAGUUCCAUCUUGGGAACCACCUCCACACAAGUUUUAGGUUAAACAAAAUUAAAAUUUUUCUUGGAUAUAAUAAAAUUUUUCAGAAUGUUUUGGUCAUUAAAAAAAGCACUAGAGUAGGGAAUCAGCAAACUUUUACUUAGAAAGGUAGAUGUAAAUAUUUAAGGCAGUUGGGAUCUCUGUCCCAACUGGUCAGUUCUGCCAGAUAAGAGAAGCCAGAGACCAUAAGUACACAAAUACACAUGUUGAAUAGGACCUCAUUUACGAGAAUGAGAAUUAGAGAAUGAGACUUUAGCAGAUAAUAGUGUCUUGUAAUGACUUUUAAUCAUGAACCUACCCUAGCCAACAGAGUGAAAAGCUGUCUUAUAUGCAUUUGAAAUUUUGCCAAUAAAUGCAAAAAUGUCAGCAACAAUAAAAAGCUUUAAACACUUGCUGAAAUAUCACCAUUUCAAAUUUCUAACAGUCAAGGAGCACUUGGGGGUCUAUCAUCACUCUUAAAACUGUAGUCUGUGAAUUUCAUGGGGGCAAGAUUCGUGAUGUAUGCACCUACCACCAUGUUUCCCAUACUUAGCAGACUUAGAGAUCUAAAGUGCAUCCAGUAUUUUUUAAGUUAAUAGAUAGUUGAUUAAACAAAUCCAAACAUUCUAUGUUCCUGUCUCCUUCUCCAUUUCCAUUAUCCAUGUUGUACCUUCCUAAAUGCCCAUAUGCCAAUGAAUCAAGUAUCCUGACUGAUAGCUCACCUUCUACCCUGGAAUCUCCUUUUCUUUUUUUUCCCCUCAGUCACACCUGAGUUUAUAGCUCAGGAUCAUUAUAUCCACAACCCCAGAGAGACUUAGCAUAAGUCUGCUCACUUUUAGCCUUGGCUUUUCCAUCAGAAAUCCUGAGGAAAGCAGGCUGGCAGGCAGAAAGGAAGAGAAAAGGAAGAAAAUCAACAUAUUUCACAAGUCUACAAGAUAUGGCUGAAUUAGGGAAUUCUAUACAUUAGUU